rnacentral:lncRNA from 1 species
CACAUCUACUCGAUGCGUGCAUGGCCUCUGUGAGGUCACCGCAGUUGUCUUAUGAUCCAGGCUGUCCAUCUCAAACCCCUCCCUGCUGGAAGAUCGUGAUCUGCCCACGUUGGAAACAGGCAGCCUGCCAUCAGACAGAUGGGAGUGAGGGCACGCGGGCCACAGACCACAGAAGAGUAAGAAAUAUGUUUUCUGAGGCCAGCGCUCCUAUCUGGGACACCAAGGCAGCUGUCAGUGCUGACCUAAAGCUAAUAGGCCAGGGGUGAAAAUGAUGCAAUUUCUAAACAUGACUGGAUCAAAUAACAUCAUUCCACUUUCACAAGUAACAGUGCAAACUACUCACAGGCAGAGAGACAUCAUCAGAGAGAGGGACAGAAUGAAUGGUUACGGUUGAGUUCCCAGUCAAAAUAAAGCUAGCAGUACACGUGAAAAAAGGAAGUAAGCACAGAAGAAGACAUCUUUUCCUCUCUCUUGUCUCCAUGUAAUUCCUUACUUGCACUCCAAAAUGUAAGACUGACUUAAUAAAAUCAUUUGAAGACCCAGAAAUAGAAAGAAAAUAAAAGUCAGAUUCAAGAUGGCGAAAACUAAGAGAAGUCAAUAAGAAAACGAUAACUCUUGGGAGAGUCCAGGAGGGCUGGAGUCCUGGUCCUUGGUCUUGGAAAGACUCGGAGAACUGCUAGGGAGCUGGGAGAGAACUGUGUGGAGCCAUACUGGGAACCUGGACCCAUCUGCAUUUUCACAUAUCCAAAACAGUUCCGUUCCCAAGCCACCCAAAUGUGUGAGCUCUCACUGCAUUUCUGCUUCAUUACUCUUUGAAAUGAAAUAAGGACACAGCUGUACCUCAAUUUAAAUCAGUGAUUGCUCUUCACUCUGAUUCUCUAUGGUGCCUACAAUCUAUGACAAUCAAGCUGUUCCACAUAGAAUGAAUUCUUGCUGCUUUUCUAGGACUGUGCCUCCACUAGAUGGAAAGUUAAGCAUUCCAUCAAAUAAUUGCAAUGGGGAUGGUUGGUGGUUGUGGUUGCUAGUCUUAAUCUACCAUUGAAAUAAACAUUUGGACUGAUUACUCAACUGACCUUCUCAGGUGACUGAUCUAUAUAAUUCACGUUGGGCUGAUCCUUGGGCAUCAUGCACACAGUCUGAAUCAGACUGAAAUUUUGCUAUUCUAGGCCUAAAGUGAAACAAGGACAUUUU